rnacentral:lncRNA from 1 species
CGGACUCCACAAGUGAUGCACGCCUCUUGGCAUCUCGGCUCACCAGUACUUGUGGAACCUAGUUUCGGAAGCUGAUUUGUAUUGCGAUACGUGCCUCUGGACAUGUGGACUCGUCGAUGUGUGCGGAGCGUAGUUUUGGAAGAUUUGUGACGCUACUCUGGACAUAUCGGCUCGAUGCACUGGUCAGUGCUUGUGGGGCGUAGUUUCGUAAAUUCACUGGUGACCAUAGGUUGGCGACCGCUGAAAUACCAGACGGCUCAUGCUUGCAGCACUCGUAAGUGAAAAUCGCCAAUGGUGAAAAACGCUCCUUCGAGGUUGCUUGGCAGUGCUGUGCAGCAUAGCACAGAAGUCACGCGCAGCCAAGGACUCCACAGGCAGGCAAAAUGCGUACAAUUGCCUUUUAGGAGCCGCUGCCGAGCAGUUCACAUGCGGACGGAAGGCCUACUUUUGUUGACGUUGUUGGGGAGUUGCUCUCGGCACUUUCUACGCAAGCGAAACAUCUUGUGCGAGCAGCAGUGGCACCGUGGAGCUUGUCGUGCUGCGUUACAUGUCGCCGAAUACAUCCAGCGAUCGCGUCUCGGAUGUGUUCGAUUCUCGUAUCGGCAUUUCGCACAGUGUUGAGACCCUGUCCAGAAGUUGAAACAGUAUUGGAACAAGGCCAGACGGAGAAAAAUAUUGUACCUAAAAAUGUUCUAAAGACACCUUUAUGAAAUUUCUACAGUGCUAUCGCAGAAACUUUUCUAACAAAUCUGCCAAUGCAUCAAAAUCCACAAAAAGUUAUUGAAUGCCAUGUCCCCCCUUAAGCUCGAAUGGUGCUUUUGCCUACACCUCCCCCUCCCCCGUUUUGUACUUUGAACUCUAGGCAAUACAACCAGUAUUUUUGCUGAUGCAUUUUUUUAAAAUGCCGUUGCCCUCCACCCCUUCUCCCAAAAAUGUUUGCCGACUUGUGCUUUGCUGACUUUAGUGCGAUGUGUAAGCUAUUCGCUGUUGCCAAAAUCUUAACAAACCAGGAGCCUCUGUCAGGCCUUGAUGCCUUUUGCUCUUGUCACCGUUUCUGUAAAGAUAAAGAAGAAAAAUAACUGGCUGCUAAGGACAGUAAAGGACA